GACGAACCGUGCGAACGUUAUUCGGAAUCAUUGGGCUUAAAGGGCGCGUAGGCGGCGGUGUAAGUUGGAAGUGAAAUCCCAUCGGCUCAACCGUGGAAUCGCUCCCAGUACUGCAUCGCUCGAGGGGGAUAGGGUCUGCGGAACUACCGGUGGAGCGGUGAAAUGUGUUGAUAUCGGUGGGAACGCCAGUGGCGAAAGCGGCGCGCUGGAUCCCUUCUGACGCUGAGGCGCGAAAGCCAGGGGAGCGAACGGG
rnacentral:rRNA from 1 species